ensembl:lncRNA
ACAUAUAAAAGGGGUGGCGUGGGGGUGGGGAUGGCGGGACAAUAGCCCAUGAGGGAUUUGGCAGGAGACGUGCAAUAUUUACCGAGAUAGACCAUCCUUGCUGUCAUUUUGUUGGUGGAUUACGAUGGCCGUUUUCCCCGCGUUCCUCCAUUUAUUUAUUUUUCCGAUGGCGGGGGGGACGCGUUGGCACGCCGCUGCUUUGUGUGCCUUGCUUCACCUAUGAAAAGGACACAUUAAGGUGUUUCCAUAAACCCCUGGAUGACAAAGAGAGCGCCUUUCUGCUCGGCUUGUAGGCAACAAUGACAGAAGCCUUUAAAACCAUGAUUUUCAACCCCCCCCCCCCCCCCAACGAUUGCAGAAGGCUUCCCCUAAAAGGAACUUAAAUACAUAUCAUUAAAUCUAAAGCACUAAGCUCUGCUCCUGCUAACUAUGCCAUGCUUUUUGUUUCUGAUAGUAUUUGUCCAUUGCGGAGCGUGAGCGAAGGAUGCGGAGCCUCCCCCGCCUUCCUCCCUUUGUUUAAAUGACAAAAUGUUUCAGUGUUUUUGUUUAGAAAAUAAACCUUGGUGGGUUGAUUCCCCCCCCCUUCCCCCCCCCCCCCAGCUUUUUAUUUUUAUUUUGCAUUUAUCUUGGCGUGAAAUCCAGGCUCCUCCUCUUCCCAGAUCUUGGGAAUCCAUGUUCCUCGUGAUCGCUUUUCCCUCCUUUAUCUAAAACACAAUGUGAUUUUAUAGUAUUACUCCGAAAACAUACCAAUAAUAUUUUGAAUUUCAGUAUUUGCGGCUUCAGGAUAUUGCAAUUUUUUUUUUUUUUUUUUAUAAGCGACGAAUGAAAAGCGAUGAUUUAAGUGUGUAAUGCACAAUACAGAUGCCAUGCAUUGUAAAUACAUUUCAGGGGCAUAAAAUCCAACACACAGAGCCGGUGUUCCACGAAAGCCGGGAGUCCAAAAAUAACUGUAAAAAUGAAUUGUCUGUCAGGAUGAAUCUCUCAGAUCCUAGCCGAUGUUUGUGGGGUUACCGGAUACAACUGGGUUACUUAUUGGCAUAAAUAUCUCAUUUUAAAAUGCUGAUGACAAACUAUAAAAAAAAAAAAAGAGGUGAAGGAGGUAUUUGACUGAUUAUUGGAUACCGUGGAUUCCCCGCAUUUAAUUUCAUACUUACAUGCUAUUUGCUUAUCCCAUGUUUAUGGGUAUGCGCUUUAGCUUCGUAUAAAUCUCUCCUGUCUGUCUGUCUCACCGUGUUCUUUUCUCUCCUGGUAUCCCAUCUGCUUCUCAUGGUCCUUCUCCUGAAACUACAUCGCAGGAUCCGAUGGGGAUAAUGGGAAUCCGCCUCUGGUCUCUAUCAUAAACAUGCCAACGUGGGCUAUUGUGUCAGGAGCCGGCGAUCACCAGAUGGUGCUUGGUUGCCCAGGGUCUGUGUCACUGGGUUUGGUCUCUCUGUAAGCCAACAAGCCCUGUAGUGUUGUAUCCCCCCAAGAUCUACCCACUCUAGUUAGAGACUGUGUAGGGACGUUGGGUGAUGUACCCAGAGAGGAGAUGCUUCUGGGAGCGUUUGGCUCUUUGCAGAUAUGAGCUGAGAUUUGUUAAUUCCUGUGCUCAGCUGUGUUCACCCUGUCUGCAUUCGUGGGUAGGAAAAUUAGCCUGUUUGCUUUUGUAGGACUAAAUGCUGUCCUCAUGCAGGAAAAAAAAAAAAAGGGGGGGGGUCCGUGCCUGCUUGAGCAGACAUCUCCCCUUGCUGUAUGCACCAGGCUUGGGAAGACAGCACAGAGAUACCUCUGUAUCAAUGGGGUGCGGACAAAAUCAAGAUAUCUCCUCUCUCUUGGGCUGCCAGACAGCUCUUGAGCGUUCGCAGAAGGACCCGCUUGUGUGGGUAUUGUGGAGAACAGCUGAGGUGUGGGACUUGCCCCAUGAAAAAAUCCUCAGCGGGUCCAGCCAGGAGAAACUCAGGGCCAAAUCCGGCUCUUCAUUUGGUGCCUGCAUGUCCUCGUGAGGUCCUGGAUGUUGCUGCGCAUGUGAGCUGCAGAGUGGAAAUUAAUGCAGAAAUAAAGAUUGAAAAUAAAAACACUGAACACAGACAGAUGGAGAGAGCCUGGCAUAAUUACAUUUAGUGGAGGGCCGCCAUGAAUGAAACCAAUUAAAGGAGAAGCGAUGCUUGUAUGAGGGAGAGGGGGGGAAGACCUCUCUGUAUCUUCUCAGGCAUCCGCCGUCCGGUGGGGGUGAGUCCCUGAGUCAUGGGCGAGCUUCUGCAUGCUUAGCGGGACUUUGCUUAUCUGCUAGGGUGAAAAAGAAGGAAAUGGGAAAUGUAGGACGCUGGCAGGGCAGGAGCUGGCUUGCAGCCAGCCCCAGCCUCAUGGUCCCCAUUGUCUCAUGGCUUUAAUGCGUGCCUAGAAAUCCAGUAUUUAGGAUUCAGGUUGCCAUUGUAAAGAAGAAAGGUCGUGCUCAGCGCCGCUUGGCGUGGAUUCCUCAGGCAGCUCUUUUGCCUGCGUGCCCUGCGCUGGGGCUGGCUUGGCAGAAAAGCUUGGGUUAGAAGUGUGCGGGCUGCUGCCGCGUGGCCGUGGUGGCUUUGUGCUUUGGGGAGGGUAGAGGAAAAUGUCCAGGAUGCCACACAAGGGGCGAGGCAUCAGGGCAGGUUUGCACAGGCUGAGUGUGCCUUAUGGAUGAGCUUGGCUGAGCACCUAGCAAGCCACACUCGCUUCAGGGCCCCAGAAAUCGCUGCUUUCUAUCCUUCCUCCCCUCUUCUGCCAUCCUGUUCUCUCGGGUGGAUGCCUUCUGGGUAGAACAGCAGCUGGCAAGGCUUGGCCAGAAUGGCUCUCAGGGGCAUUAUCACAAGGCUUGGGAUUUGGGGUGUUUGUUGCAAAAGCACGGCACCUGGAAUCAAGGGCUGCUUGGAAGCUUCAGUCUCGCUUAAAAAUAAUCAAAUGGUGCUAAUGAGAAAUGGGUUUAUGGGCAUCAUUAUUGCAGGGAAAACUCUGGAAACAUAACAAAGACAUGUUUGGGCCUGGAAUUACCAAGCUGAAGAAAGAUUCUCCAAAUCCUUGGGGUUUUUUUUUUUUUUUUAGAGUCAGCCUUAGCAAUUUUGGGUAGUCAUAUUCCUGGUAUUCAAAGCUGGAGGAUGGAAGUGUGGGAUACUUCAUAAUAUCAAACAGGGUGUGAAGGAGAGCCUGACAAAUCCAAGCACUGUGGUUUACACUGGGUUGCAUGGGGGCUGGUUUGGAUCCUGCUACUUGUACCCAUUACUCUUAGGAGUGGUCCAAGCCACUGGGUGUAGGGAAACUCGGAAGCAAAGUUCUGUAGCGUGUGCUUCCGUCUCUGAAAUGUAGUAAUUGGUAAUUGUGGUCCCAGCUGCCCUGUUCUGUAAGGGGCCAAGCAAGGGAUGCCCGUCUGUGUACAUGCCUGUGGAGGUGGUAGAGGCAAGGCUGCACAGGCACACUGCCUUCUUAAAAACUCUCUUUGGACUCAGCACUGUGCUCAGCACCAUGGAAGACUCUGCUUAAGGGCCAGAGGAGAUGCUGUCGCUGUGCUGUCCUCCUGGGGCUGUGCGGGAGCUCCCUGGGUUAAGCAGGCAUGUUCCAUCCAGGUUUCCACCCAGAGCAGACUCGCAGGGUAACGUGCUCCUUCAGCCCAUUUGUGAUGUGUUGCAUAGGCAUCACCCUCACCCCGGUGGUCACGUGUCUGAAUGUGCUGUCAUCAGUGUGGUUUUAAAUAUAUUCUAAUGCGGAAAUGUACUGGAGCUAACCAAGAUGAAGGAAAGCUGCAGGAACAAGUCAGGACUUGUAUGGGCUGGUCCUGGGGCUUCUGAGGUUCUUUCAGGUCUGGCUUUCAGCUAACAGCACUCACUGCUCAUCUGCAGCAUUUACAGCAGUUCUGGUCCUGCACUGUCCCCAGGCUGGGCUUUUCCCGAUGGGGUGGAGCGGAGUGGAAAUGCAGAGUGCUAAUGAGCGGGUGCUAGGCUGGGACCCAUCGUGUUGCUUGUGAUCAGGCUCAUGGGUGAUGUGGCAGGGCAAUCUGGGAGCUUGGGGAGGAAGUAAAUGGCUCACGUACAUAAGUGCUGGCUGGGGAGCCCAUUAGGGCUUCCCCUGCAGAGGGAAGAUGUUACCUGCAGCUCUCUGUGUUGCUGUACGCUCUGUCUGGUGGGCUCUCAGACUUCUGUCUCCUCCCAUCCCAAAUGCCAGAGGUUGAAUGAGUGCCUGUGAUUGUCGCAAGGGCUUAAAGAUGUGGUGACUCCACUCCCUAAUCCACAGCUUGCGACAUGACUUAGGGAAACAAAGGCAUGGGCUGCUUGUCUUCAUUUGUGCAAGGGCUAAUUCGCCUGCCCCGUUUGAGCAUGGGCCAUUCGGAGCUGGCUGCAGAUGCCUUCUGUAUGCGGGAUUCACAUCCGGCCCAUUGCAAAGGCAGAGCCCAGCUGCUGGGAUUGCUGGCACCUCUGCUCAUCCUGGGUCACAGAACGGUGAAUUUUCAGACCUGCAUCCUCUGAUCAGACCCAGUAAGUGUCACGCUGGCAGGCAGAGGGACACGGGGCUGUUCAAACCCUACCCUGUACCCAAUGGGACCAGCGUUAUGGCUAUGCAGAAUUACUCUGCGUUUUCUAGGCCACUUUUGAAAAUGGCUGAAAAUUUGCUUUCCUUAGCCUAAAAACUGAGCUCUCUCGUUGGUUCUGUAAGUGAUGGGCAGGGACUUGAGAUCUCCUGCGACCUGAGAGCCUGAUGAAGUUGGAAACAGCCCAGCAAGGGUGGAAAUGGGUUUUGCAGGUCGUUUUGAACGCAAUCACAUUCACUGCUGUUGUUCCCCUGAUUUGGGCACGGUGGUACCAUCCUUCCUGAUCUCCCCUCUGCUGCCUGAUGUGGGUACCACAGAGGUGCACCAGGGAGAGGGGUUUGGUGGCAGAGGGGACCUCAGGCUCCGGGGAGAAGGGGCAUCUCUGCUGACCACCGCUUGCUUUGCCAUCCAGCCCCGGGGAGGGGGAGGCUGCGUGACAGCGCGGUGGAUGCUCUCGGCAGGUCUCCUGCCUGCGGAGCCAGCGGUGACACUUUGCUGACAUGAACAGAGAGGAGAUGCUGGCGUGAGAUCCUGGUCACGUCAGCUGGGAUCAGGUACCAGGCCUGGCCAUGGCCGCCAGCAGCUGCCCUGAGUGCUGGUGAACAUGAUCCGGAGCCAAUCUCAGGGUGUUUGCUGCAUGCCUGCAGCAAGGUGCUGUCCUAAAGCUCUCUGCAGCUCUCUGCAAAUGCUGCUGGAGGGACACCAGCGUGGAUGUGCUGGGCUUGCAGUCAGAUGACGGGUGCCAUCUUUGCAGGGUGCAGGCACAAAUGUUUCAGGAGGAUUUUCUUCCCUACGGAUGCUAUUGCUCUCCAGGGAAGAUAGGAAAACGCUGGUCCUGAAGGGAUGAGCACUGUCUGCACUUUGAUGGCAGAUGUCCCGGGAACUGUAAGGAAAAAAAGACACCCACUGAUUUUUUCAUUUCUCCCCGUUUCUGUCUGCCUAUCAGCCUGUCAGCUCGCUAGAUGCUAAUCCACAGCAGCAGCAGCACAAAUAAAGCUAGACUGGAGGGAUGCUAAUUUAUGCCUGGAUUUCAUGCUUUGUUUUACUUCCACACUUUAUUGGACGGAGUAGGCUUUGUGAGUGACGUAAAAUGUCGUGUGCGCUCUCCCCGUGGCAGGUUCCUGCACAUGCAGCAGGAGAAGUUCAUCUCUCUGUAUCGCUGCAGCUUUGCACGUGGCCUUCUCUGUCUCCCCGGGUAUUUUUUUUGGGGGGGGGGGGGGUUGCUUCUGCUGAGCUCCCAUGUGAUGAGGAACUCAUUCUAAAUUUUGUCGUGCUGCACUGAAAGCCAGGGAUGUAUUUCCAGUCUCAUCUCGCCUUCUCUGAUGGUGCCAGCAUUUAUGCAUCUAAACUGUAAUUUUUUACGCUCUAACUGGGGAACCAGACUACAGCCUCUGCAAUUUGCAUGAAUAAAUGUCAUGUAAAACCAUCUGCUCAUGGACAGUGACCAGCUGAAAAGUUAUGCUGGGAGGCAAUCCGUUCGGGAGCGAUCGGCAGAUCUAUUUAAUGAGAUGUUGAGAUUUACACGUCUCCAUGUGUGAGAGAAGGAGCGUGGGUAGAUGGAUUUAAAGGCAGGGAUAGAUAGAUUUAAGGUCACAGAAGCACUCGGAGCCUGCCAAGUCCGUCCUGCAGUGAAAGUGACCCUACCUGGGUGGUGAGGGCAGGGGAGGAGGUCUGCCAGCACUUGGAAAGGCACUGUCUUAGAAAAAGGUGAAACGUAGAGUAUGUUCAACUCAACGUUAAUAAUGAAGGGUCUUGUGUAGCUUCUUGGAAGGCUAUUGCGUGGGAUCCACUCUGUGACCCUUGGGGUCUUUGAAGGGAAGGAUCAGCUCACAUAGACGUGUGCUGAAGGAUCCUGAGGUCUUCAGCCCCCAUUAGAGAUAAAGGGAAGGAGAUGCCCACAUCUCACUGUUGGCGUGCUUAGAAGGUUGGUGCUGACCUUCCCUUCAGCCAAGACUUUGUGAGCCACGUGGCAAAUCAGUGGGUAAGGAAGGAACAGCCAGGAGAGAGCUGGUGAAGUCUUUGAAAUGGCCACGUUGGCUGGGAUCUACCAACCCGUUUUUGUGCUCAACUCCUUCGGAGCAAGGCAGGGAGGAGGGCCCAGAGGUGGCUCUUGUACCAGGCUCUGCUCUCAGCCGCGCUGGGUUCAAUCCUAAGUGAGGAUUUAAUUGCAUUCAGUAAAAUCUGCCCAAAUUUACAGCACGGAAAUGAGAGCAGAAUUGCAAGUGUCCUUGUUUCUCGGUGCCGUCAAAUAGCUUUUCUCAGCCUUGAGUCCUGGCAAGCUAAUCUCUGUAGAGUUUUAUUUCAUAUGGUGUCUGCAUUGCCCUAUUAAAACCACAGCUCUGUUCCCAAUUCUGUACAUGUCAAGUGCGUAUCCGUGUGUAUUGGAGCAGAGGGAUGUGGCAAUAAAACUGUUCAUGACUACUUGUUUGGAUAAAAAGCACAGAUUUGCUUACUUGGCAGUAGCUUCCCCUUUUUAGCAGAAAUAUUUGCACAGCGACUUUCAUUUUGUCACAGCGGCCAUGGGAAGGAUGCUGCACUGCCACUCACGUUCCUGGGUUUGUGUGUGUGGUUUUGCUGAGGUUUGUUGGUAGCGAUGUCCAGAAAUCUCCUGCGGCAAACAAAAGAGCUCCAGGCGGUGGUUUGGCUGCAGGAGCCGCGUGAUGGGAGCUGGGCUUCCUCCAGCCCCCAGACCUCUGCCGCAGCGAGGCAGGGCUCUGUCGGGUUUGCAUCACAGCUUGUCUCCUUUCUGACUAAGCUGACGGACAGGAAUAGCUUCUUACUCCUAAGGUGCAUCUGGUUCUGGAGGCGGACGUGGGUUGUGGCAUUUGUGUUGGCAGCUUGUGCCGUGCUGCUCAGCGAGGCUCUCUUUGGGCUGCUGUCUGCUGGGAUGGGAGGGGGAACCUGUGAGCUGCACCGCACGAGAGCAUCAUAGGUGUACGGAGGUGUUCGCCUUUGUGCGGGUCUCGGAGGUCUCUUUGUUUUGUCUCCCUCCGAGUACCUUGUGCAGAUGCAUUUGCAUAUAUGGAAAACGUUGUCAUCAUCUCCUCCCCCUUCCCCGGCUCACGCCGCUCUGCCGACUCGUGGGCAUUUCCAGCUGAACGAUGCUGCCGAGCCCAGCCAAGCAUGUGGGGCUGGGGGCUAAGCCCUGUCUGCUGCUUCCUUCCCCAGAGGGCGGUGGGGCGGUUGGGGGGCGGUCGGGACAUCAGGGGCGGUUUUUCUUAAUUUUCUCUGACUCGCCGUAGGAAGGUGGUCGGGUCCCGAAGGGGGGCUGUUCCCUCAGCCCCCAGCCCUGACCCCCUCUGCUCCCUCCCUCCAUUCUCACGCUGGCAGCGGCACUGCAGAAAGCAUCCAAACCGCUCUGCCAGUCUAAUCCAAGUUCAAACCAUUUGCGUCCCUAUCCAGAAAGCCUGGGAGCGGUCCCCUGGCAAAUCCCUCGCUCCACCGGCCGCCAUUCACCCCCACAAAGACGUCCCGUACAGGACAUAUUCAGUCCCUAAUCCUCUCUAAGGUGCUGCAGGCUCUUCUCUUCCCAAACCCACACCUGCUCCGGGAACUCGAACACUCCGAGGUUCGUCUCCGUGCUCCGCGGCCUCCACGGGGACAGGCUGGGCCAUCGGAGAAAGGGGGUGGAGGAGAGCCGGGGCAGCUGCGGGGCUUGUGUUAGUAAACACUUCCUUGGGUUCACAUUUUAAUUCCUUGCCCCCCUCCCCAUCUUCUCCCCCAUCCUUUCCCUUUUCUGUACGCUCACACAAUGAGACCAUUGUCAAGGGGUGAUUUGAAUGAGGGGUCUCCGGGCAUGUUCCCAGCAUUGUCAAACAGAGUGGGAAAAAAACCACAACUCCAGCCCAGCCAGGAGGACCGGACCAGACUGAGACAGAUGCCUAAAUUAGUGACAAAGCCUUUUGAAUGUCCCCCCUAGACAAGGGUUGCCUUGUGCGUGUGUGCGUGUGUGUGUGCAUGCUCGUGGGUGUGUAUUUGUGGCUGGGUGGCAGCUUGCAUGUCUCCCCAUGUUAAUUAGUUUUGCAUGCAUGUCUGAUAAGGUGCCAAUGAAUAUAUUUGUCCUUCCAUUGGCGAAAGCUGUCUCGGCGGCAGGGGAGAUGCGGGGCGCUGGGGGUGUGCUCAGAGCAGCCCGGGGUAAUUGAGCUGUGCGGGGCUGGAGGAGAAGGGCUGAGAGCCCGGUGCAUCAGCGGGGCCGGGCUUCCCAGCCAUGGGUCGGCUGCCUUCUUUGCAAAUUGCAGAGAGUUUAAAAGAGAACUGAAGCUUUUUUUUGGUUCACUGGGUCUUUCUGUUCGUCUUUACUGAUUGUCUGGCUGAGGGUCUGUGGGCUCUUUCUUCUCCUUUGCCCUGUGUCUCUCUCUCAAGUCCCUUAAAAGGUGUUUAUUUCCAAUGGGUUUGUAUCCAUCUUUGUAUGUACACAUACACAUGCAAUCACUCACACAAAGCCCCAACAACAAAACCUCAGCCUGCUUCUCCAGCGAGGCAGCCGGAUCCACUGCCAGCUACAAAGCAUGGGAAGGAGCGGAGCUGGGGUGUGCAGGGCAUGGAGCAGUGGGAACAGGAGCUGGAGAGACAAAGGGAGCGGUGCUACCGAGGAUUUAUCAGCAUUUGUUCAGAACAGAGUUAUUAAUUGCAAAGAUAAAAGUCUUUCCACUUCCCCAGCAUAUGGACCGGCACGUAGUGUCAUUCCUAGAGUGCAUCCAUCCGUCCGUCCGUCCGUCUGUCCAUCCAUGCACCCACCCACCUGCAUUCUUCAGAUUCACGCAAGAAUCUAUAGGAUGUAGGGAUGUUAACACCCAUUCACGUCUGCUUAAUUAUUUUUUUGCAUUUUUCCACUUAAACCAACGAGACUCAAGAGCCAACAUACGUUUAUUGAGCAAGAAGCUCUAGAAUGGCCAGAGAUGCCUUCCCUCCCCGUGCCCCCCUCUGCUGCUGAGCAGCUGCUGUGCUGAAAGAGCAGGGAAUUACAUGGCUGAGCAGCGAUUGCCACAGGGCUGCUCUGAAGCGAAGGUCAUUUGGGGAAGUUUUGCUGCAUGCAGGGUUUGGUGGCUUUGCUUUCUCUUCUAUGCUGGGUUCCCUGCAUGGGUGCUGGGUGUGUGGAGAGCAGCGGGGCUGGUUCUGGUUGGGAGAUGGCUUGGUUGGAGCAGCAGAGCAUAGGGCAAGUACCUCAAAUCAAAGAAUCGUAGACUAGCCCGAGUAGGAAGGGGCCCAUAAGGAUCAUCGAGGCCUCCCUGCUGUUGGAGCAAUAGGCACGGUGGGCAACUCAAAGCACUCAUGGGGAGCGUGCAGGAAAAAAGGACCCCCAAGAAACGCAGGUUGGAGAACAAAGGCAAUUUCGUGUGGCUUAUCAGCAGUGCCUAAUUGCGCAGGGUGAAUAAUGAGCAGUGGGGGAGGCAGCUCUGCUGUCCUCCUGACAGGCUGCAGCCCGUGUCUGGAGAGCCCGAGUCAGUGCCAGCACGUGGUGGGGGUCCUCAGAGAGGGCCAGCCCCAUCCUCUGCAUCUGUGCCCCUUUCAGAGCUGCUGGGCUCCUCUGUCGCAAAGCCUUUGUGUUAACCCCACAUCGUAGAAUCGUAGGAUCGUGGAAUCAUGGAAUCACAGAAUGGCUUGGGUUGGAGGGGACUUUAAAGAUCAUCCAGUUCCAAGCCCCUGCCGUGGGCAGGGUUGCCAGUCACUGUAAACCAAAGGGGGAUGUGCCAUUGGAAGAGGUCACUAUGCGAGUGCUUGGACCUGUCGUUGGCUCGUGGGGCGCGCGCGUUAUCCACAGCUGACCCUGGUGCAACACGGCCUUUAAUCAGAAGAACUGGGAAAUGGCCCACAGGCCCUCUGCAGACCCCUCCAGUCCAUCUCCCACCCCUCCGCCCCACUCCAUGCAUCCCACCGCUCCCUCAUUCUGCUCCCAACCCCACGCAGGGCCAUGGAAACCGCUUUGUCAGAGCUCCGUGCCAGCCCGAUCUGCAGAAGGGCUUUUUUUUUCCCCUGUUGGGAUGACUAUUCCCACACAAGCAAAGCCUCUUAAUGAAUCCGUGGCAGCAAAGUAGGUGAGGCGCUCGCCCUGCCAAGGCUGCUUGGCACGGCUGGAGUCACGUAAUCACGCUCAGCUGCCAGCGGGGACAGAGCAGGAAGAGUUAACGUGGGGACAGCGUGGGGACAACUAAUCCCAGCAGGACGGGUGGCACAGACCUGUCCUUCCUCACCUCCCCCUCACCGCAGCCCACCUCUUCCUCUCCCACCUCCUCCCUUCACUCAUUUCUCCCAUCUCCAUCACAUUGUCACUCCUCCCCCGGCCCCUCCCGUGCCCCGCUCUCUCCAUCCAGCACGUUCCCCUCCCGCACUCUCCGAGUGGGAGCGAGGGGCCGUGCGUUUGGGCUGCGGUGGAGGUCACAGCUAUAUGGGGAUUGUUUAAAAGAGAUUUGCCCACAUCCCAGCCCAUGUGACCAGCCUCAGCUGCAGGUCUCUCUUUCUUAAUCUGGAGAUAAGCGUGAUUAUCCGAAGAAGGGCUGUUCGGAGCUUUGUAACUGUGACAGGGGAGCUUUCAAGUCGCACUUUGCUGGCAGAGCAGCGUUUAAAGCCGGGGAAUCAGAUUCCAAGCGUGGCUUUGCAUCUCUUUGCUGCUGGGAGCAUGGCGCGGGGCUGGCAGCAGGGAUGGGAGCUUUAUUAGGACUUUGCUUAUGAUGCGGAAAAGGAACCGGGGGAGGGAAAUGAGGGGAAAAAAAAUCCCAAUUCACCGUUUCCCGAUCGGUGGUGGAAUUACAGCAAUGCUCUGCUUCCAGGAGGGCGGUGGGGUCCCAUUGGCCUCACGUCUGGGGAGCAGUUCAGUGGCCAGGAGGUUCUGCUGCUUUCGGUGCCAUGCAGCGCGGGCAUGUUGUGUCUCUCUGCUCUGAGUCCCCAUCCUCGUUGCACAAGAGGUCCCCUGGGUCCUGUUUGGAAAUGAAAUGCUUGUGGCAGCUGGGGAUGCUGUGCCUGGCUGUCCCCAGGACCCCAUUCACAUCAAGGCUUGCUGGAGGUGCGUCUUGGUGGGAUGCGGGGAUGUGGCAAUCGUGUGGUUUCAUGUUGUGUCUUGCCAUCUCAUACCAUGGGCACAGCCCCCAAAGGCUUCUUGCGCCAGGACAGGCAUCAAAAUAGGGUUUAGUGGAAAUGUUCCGCCGUAGAGCAGGCGCUUCUCUGCUUCUAUUUGUAGAAUAAAAACUCCAAGCAGAGACUCAUCACUGCGUCUCUUUUGAUGGAGAUGGGUCAAGGAGAAAGAAACCUGGAUCUAAGCCAGGGGCUGGAAUCUGGGUCGAGGCUGAAUGAGGACUGAGUGCCAGCAGUGCUCCGGCCCGUCACUCGGGCAGCACUCACUGUUCUUGCUGUAUCCUCCUUGGAAGGGGUUCAGCUUCAGGCCAGCCUGAUCCAAAGGGCACCUGAACAAUUCCCUCCUGCUCACAGCCGCUCAUUGCUAGAGCUAGUGUGAAUCUGCAGCCCCUUCUCCUGGGUUUAUUUGAGGGGAGCGGUUUCUUGCUUGUGUCUCGUGAUACAGAAAGAGAUCAGAUGUCCUUCUCUCUUUUCCAUGAAGGCACAUCUUUUCUUUGCGUACCUUGGCCAUGGUGGGCGUCCAGCCCUAAAGCAGCCCAGGUGAGAAGUGGGGCAGGACGCAUACAGGGGUGGAGAUGUGGGUCCGUGGGGCUGGCGGCUCACUGUCCAUCCAGCAGUUGCAGGAGGGAAGUGGUUGCAAAUACAUCAUCUUGAGCGUGAGCUCUGCGCUGUCUCCUACAUGGUCUGCUGUCCCUGGAGCCCCACACAGCUGGUCUGUGGGAGGGAGCUCUGUUUUCCUUGUACCCCUGUGAACUUGAUUUUUUGUUAUUUUUCUCUGCGUGCCGCUUACAUGAAUCCUCUUCAGUGCCUACAGCUUAUUCCGUGGCUUUACCGAGGAUCUGGCCAACAUAUGUAGCCUCCCUCCAGGGCACGGCUCUUUGAGAAGCUCCAAGCUGGACACAGCAUGUUUUCCCAGUGGCUGCGGGGCUGAGCAGCCCAAAUCCCGCAUUGCACAGAUCCUACACGUGUCCUGGGUGGGGGAGAAGCAGAACUCCCCCCACUCCUGGCAGCCUGGGAGCAGCAGAGGGAACGUGGGCAGGAGCACGGAGGUGUUGGCGGGUGCGGGUAGGAACACACGUGUGCUGGGACAGCCGUGCCCAUCUGCACCAGCACGGUCACACGUGUGCCUGCGUGGCAGACCGUCCCCAUGCCCCUCACCUGCCUGAAUCUGUGGGGUACAGGGGGAGAAUGGAGGCAUCCCUUUUAAGAGCCUUUUAAAUGGAAUUGGAUCUCUAAGAGAAAGGGUUGAAUUGAUUGCAAGGGUUGAUUGAUCUGCUGGAUGUUUCUGCCAGCUUUCCGGGCAUGCACAGGCUCAGAAUUGCCAAGGUGGGAAGGAAUUGACAAGCACUGCUGUGUCAAAGCAGGACAUAAAGAACUAGAAGCCGCGUCUCCAGCUCGCCCCAGCCUGGCACUGGGAAACAUCUCCGUUCUGCAACCCGCCGGGGCCAGCUCUUCACCAGCACUGACUUUGCCUCCUCCUAUUUGCACAUCCCCAGCACAUUUCUGUCUUGCCCUGACAGUGGGAUGGGAUGGCCAGGGACAGACAGACAGCAGAGCCCAGGCACACCAGGACCCGAGCAGCCCUGUGUGGAGAGCUUCUUAUGGGCUGAGGGUGGAUGGAGGGAUGUGAGGUGGGGUGAUGCUGCAUAGAGCAGGGCAGGUGGGUCUCGAUGGAAGCGACUGAGAGAUUUGAGAGGUGUGAACAGGAUGGAGGGGACCAAGCUGGGGCUGCAGAGGGUGGUUCCCAAAGGUGAGCUGAGGCCAGCAGCCAGAGCAGGGUUUGGCAGAGAGCAAGGGGAGCUGUGGAGGAGUGUGGUCAUGCCAUGAGGAGUGCGAGAGCUGCUGCAGGGCUGCAGGAGGUGCUGACAGAGGAGUGACACACAGCUGUGUCACCUGAGUGUCCCCUGUCAUGGCGUGGGGCAGUUCCAGGCUUUGCUUUGUUGCUGUUGCUCAGAGCCAUUUGGUACAAAGCCCUCAGCACCUCGGUGCAUGAGUCUACUUUCAGUGACGCAUAAAAACCAAAAGAUUUGACAAAAAAUAUAUAUAUAUAUAUUAUUUUUUUUUACUCUUGCCACCUCAUUGCCAUAGUAACAGAGGUCCUGAGGACACCUCCAUGAAGUAGGUCACCGCAGACCCCUGUUUGCUGCUGCUCACAGCCAGCACUGGGCAUCCCCAAUGGUGCGAGCAUGGCUGGGCCGGAGACGUACCCUGCAGUGGGGUACCCCAUGGCCAUGCCCUGGUGAGGACACCGUGACAUCACCCAGGUGCCAUCGAGGGCCGUCCCACGCCCGGACACCGAUCGUGGGAAACUGCCGUCCCUCCUGUUGGUGUCCCCAAGUCAGGGCUCCCUCCCAUCCCCCUCUGCCUCCCUCCCCCCUUUCACUGGAGCCUCUCUCCUCCUGAUUUGCAUAAUUUUCCAUUUUCAGUGUCCCCUUUUCUUUUUCUCCUCUCCAUAUGGUGCGUCCCCCUCUCUGCCUGGUGCAGGAGCCCUCCUUAACAAGCUCAGCAAAGCCCUCUCUCUCAGGGGCUGCACAUGAAAGAUGCUCUGUAAAAACAGAGGCCGGCAAGGAGCCCUCCCCCUCUCCCCCUUGAUUUAUAAGGGGCCGGGAUGUGGGAACGUUCCUGGGUCGUGCUUUGGAGCCGUCGGGUGUUUGCAGCCGUCUGCAGUGCCUGUUUGCUCCAUCCAUUCAGUGCAGACCCCUACGGCUGGCGCUCCCCGCGUCUUUCAUCUGCAAUGCAAAAAGAGUGGUGGGGAAAGUUGGUGCCUCUCCUGCGUGUCCCAGGCUUUGCUUUCAGCUGCUGAGGGAUGCUCUGUGCCUGCUGCGCCGGGGUUGGGCUGCGCCCUUGCUGCUGCUGCUUCCCCACCUGGGACACAGGUGACGAAAGUGGCACAAAUGAAACAAGUGACACCGGUGGCACGCGUGGCACGAGUGACACGGCUGGCACAAGCUCCACGAUCAAGCAGCGUUCGCCAUUCGUUCACCAUUCAUCAUCUUCUCCAUCCCAGCCUGGGCUUUCCCACCACCCCGCGGAGCUCCAUCCCCAGCAGCCCCACGGCAGUGUCUGUGUACAAACCCCACUGCCACCCCACUGCCACCCACAGGGAUCCCACCAGUGCCGUGCUGCCGGGCAGAGGGUGCCAGCCCAGCAUUUGACGGGUUAAGCCGGUCUCCAGCUAAUUUCUCCCAGCGCUCCCCUCCUCCUCACGCUUCUGUAUGCAGCAGGCAGGGCCUCCGCGCAGGUUCCUGCACUGAGCUGUUGCCAGGGGAGUAGUUAGGCGAGUCUGAGCUAUGCGGGGAAAAGGCCCGGGCUGUCAAAGUGUCUGAGAUGAACCAUAGCCCGGUCCCCCUGCAGCUGGGCCCAAGCAUGCAUCAGCCCUUGUUUGGAGCCUGGGAAUGGCAAAGCCCAGGGAGGUUCAAGGGCAAACUUGCUAUUCAUUAGUCAGGGGUCCUUGACGUUCCCACUCUCUGUCUCCCUUCUUCUUCUUCUUCUCUUUUCUGUCCCUCUUUUGACAGAUUCCUGGGUGCUUUGGGGGAAAGCUCCCCUCCUCCUCCUCCUCCUCGCCCCGCCAAAAGCCCUCCCCAUAAAAUUCCCUGCAGACAGGCGGGGGGACAACAAUGACGGCACCGAGAGCCGCAUCCCGCGGGCAUCCUCUGCCCCCCGGUGCCGUGCACGAUGCACUCUCUCCACGCGAGCUGCACAUCUCCCAUGUUUUAUCACUGUGAUGCUCACAGGAAAUUGUAACUUGAGAUAAGAAAAUGUCAGCAGCAUUCUCCUCUCACUGAGCCCAAAGCGCCAUGAAGUUCCUCUAUAGGAAAUGCAACCACGUGCCCAGGCCCCUGGAGCAGAACGGAGGUGUAAUGCUGAGGAGCUGCAGGGCAGAGCACAGCUUUGGUCACUUUGGAGUUGGAGAUCUUGAGCCGGGGAGGAGAUCCCAGUGAGGGGAGAAGGGAUGUCCCCAGCCUGACAGCUCCUUCCUGGCUGCGCUCUGCCCGCUCUCUGCCCGAUGUCUCCGGGAUUCUCCAGGAGGGACCCAACCUGCCGUGGCCCCAGCAAGAGGCAGCAUUGGCUGCUGGACGUGGAGGGGUUCUGCAUUGCUUCGCACCUGUGGGGAGGGAGCCAGGGGAUGGGGAGCCUGGCAAAAAUCCCGUGUAACUCCUGUAUGUCACCUCCAGGACCCAAAUACCCCUGGGCAGAGAGGUGUGAGCACCGUCCCAGCUGGGUGUGGGGAUGUUGGUGGGAGCAGGAGGGAGGUCUGAGCGGGAUGGAUGCCAUGUUAAGGGGCUCUGCUCAUGGAGCAGAGCUUGGCCUACGCUGUGCGUGCGUGCGUGAUGGACUGAGCGUGGGCUGACCACGCCUGGUCCAGGCGGUGUUCCAUUGCACUGUAAGAAAAAUGCACUGUAAUUCCCCCCUAAUUAAAAUCAACCCCACCCCGUGCACUGUUGCAAAUAAACACUCCUUUCUGCAAAAGCGAG